rnacentral:rRNA from 1 species
AUACAUGCAAGUCGAGGGGCAGCGAGUCUAGCAAUAGAUGUCGGCGACCGGCGCACGGGUGCGUAACACGUAUACAAUCUGCCUAUAACAGGGGGAUAGCCCGGAGAAAUCCGGAUUAACCCCCCAUAAUAAUUGAAGAAGCAUUUCUUUAAUUUGAAAACUACGGUGGUUAUAGAUGAGUAUGCGUAUGAUUAGCUAGUUGGUAGUGUAACGGACUACCAAGGCAACGAUCAUUAGGGGUACUGAGAGGUUAAACCCCCACACGGAUACUGAGACACGGAUCCGACUCCUACGGGAGGCAGCAGUAAGGAAUAUUGGACAAUGGCCGCAAGGCUGAUCCAGCCAUGCCGCGUGCAGGAAGAAGGCGCUAUGCGUUGUAAACUGCUUUUGAACCAGAGAAAACCCUUCUACGUGUAGAAGGCUGAUAGUAUGGUUAGAAUAAGCAUCGGCUAACUUCGUGCCAGCAGCCGCGGUAAGACGAAGGAUGCAAGCGUUAUCCGGAUUCAUUGGGUUUAAAGGGAGCGUAGGCGGACUUGUAAGUCAGUGGUGAAAUCUCUGGGCUUAACCCAGAAACUGCCAUUGAUACUGCAGGUCUAGAGUACAUUUGCUGUGGGCGGAAUAUGACAUGUAGUGGUGAAAUACUUAGAUAUGUCAUAGAACACCGAUUGCGAAGGCAGCUCACAAAAAUGUAACUGACGCUGAGGCUCGAAAGUGCGGGGAUCAAACAGGAUUAGAUACCCUGGUAGUCCGCACCGUAAACGAUGAUUACUCGCUGCUUGGAGGCAACUCUGAGUGGCUUAGCGAAAGCGAUAAGUAAUCCACCUGGGGAGUACGCCGGCAACGGUGAAACUCAAAGGAAUUGACGGGGGCCCGCACAAGCGGAGGAGCAUGUGGUUUAAUUCGAUGAUACGCGAGGAACCUUACCAGGGCUUGAAAGUUAGGGAAUGAUCCUGAAAGGGAUCAGUCAGCAAUGACCCGAAACUAGGUGCUGCAUGGCUGUCGUCAGCUCGUGCC